rnacentral:piRNA from 2 species
CAGGAAGUAGAGAAUGUGAGCAGG